UACGGAAGGCAGCAAGGGGAAUAUUGCACAAUGGGCGCAAGCCUGAUGCAGCCAUGCCGCGUGUAUGAAGAAGGCCUUCGGGUUGUAAAGUACUUUCAGUCGUGAGGAAGGUGUUAAGGUUAAUAACCUUAGCAAUUGACGUUAGCGACAGAAGAAGCACCGGCUAACUCCGUGCCAGCAGCCGCGGUAAUACGGAGGGUGCGAGCGUUAAUCGGAAUUACUGGGCGUAAAGGGCACGCAGGCGGUUAAUUAAGUUGGAUGUGAAAUCCCCGGGCUUAACCUGGGAAUGGCAUUCAAGACUGGUUAGCUAGAGUCUUGUAGAGGGGGUAGAAUUCCAUGUGUAGCGGUGAAAUGCGUAGAGAUGUGGAGGAAUACCGGUGGCGAAGGCGGCCCCUGGACAAAGACUGACGCUCAUGUGCGAAAGCGUGGGGAGCAAACGAGGAUUAGAUACC
rnacentral:rRNA from 1 species